rnacentral:rRNA from 1 species
ACCCGCACAAGCGGUGGAUGAUGUGGUUUAAUUCGAUGCAACGCGAAAACCUUACCCACCUUUGACAUGGCAGGAAUCCCGAAGAGAUUUGGGAGUGCUCGAAAGAGAACCUGCACACAGGUGCUGCAUGGCUGUCGUCAGCUCGUGUCGUGAGAUGUUGGGUUAAGUCCCGCAACGAGCGCAACCCUUGCCAUUAGUUGCUACGAAAGGGCACUCUAAUGGGACUGCCGGUGACAAACCGGAGGAAGGUGGGGAUGACGUCAAGUCCUCAUGGCCCUUAUAGGUGGGGCUACACACGUCAUACAAUGGCCGGUACAGAGGGUAGCCAACCCGCGAGGGGGGAGCCAAUCCCACAAAGCCGGUCGUAGUCCGGAUCGCAGUCUGCAACUCGACUGCGUGAAGUCGGAAUCGCUAGUAAUCGCGGAUCAGCAUGUCGCGGUGAAUACGUUCCCGGGUCUU